AUUGAACGCUGGCGGCAGGCCUAACACAUGCAAGUCGAGCGGGGUUUUCGGACCUAGCGGCGGACGGGUGAGUAAUGCGUAGGAAGCUGCCCGAUAGAGGGGGAUACCAGUUGGAAACGACUGUUAAUACCGCAUAAUGUCUACGGACCAAAGUGUGGGACCUUCGGGCCACAUGCUAUCGGAUGCGCCUACGUGGGAUUAGCUAGUUGGUGAGGUAAUGGCUAACCAAGGCGACGAUCUCUAGCUGGUUUGAGAGGAUGAUCAGCCACACUGGAACUGAGACACGGGCCAGACUCCUACGGGAGGCAGCAGUGGGGAAUAUUGGACAAUGGGCGCAAGCCUGAUCCAGCCAUGCCGCGUGUGUGAAGAAGGCCUUCGGGUUGUAAAGCACUUUCAGCGAGGAGGAAGGGUGGUGUGUUAAUAGCACAUCAUUUUGACGUUACUCGCAGAAGAAGCACCGGCUAACUCUGUGCCAGCCGCCGCCGUAAGAC
rnacentral:rRNA from 1 species